rnacentral:rRNA from 1 species
CCCGACUCCAUGAAGCUGGAUUCGCUAGUAAUCGCGCAUCAGCCACGGCGCGGUGAAUACGUUCCCGGGCCUUGUACACACCGCCCGUCAAGCCAUGGAAGCCGGGAGUGCCUGAAGUACGCGACCGCAAGGAGCGUCCUAAGGUAAAACCGGUGACUGGGGCUAAGUCGUAACAAGGUAGC